rnacentral:pre_miRNA from 1 species
GGAUAAUAUUAUUUUGCUAUUUUCGACCAAUAAUAUAAAGACAUGUGAAAAAAUAAUCCAACAUGUCAUUACGUUAUUGGCUGAGAAUAACAAAAAGUGUUAUAUCC